GCCCGGAUAGCUCAGUCGGUAGAGCAUCAGACUUUUAAUCUGAGGGUCCAGGGUUCGAAUCCCUGUUCGGGCG
rfam:Hymenolepis nana genome assembly, scaffold: HNAJ_contig0000171